UACGGGGGGGGCAAGCGUUGUUCGGAAUUACUGGGCGUAAAGGGCUCGUAGGCGGCCAACUAAGUCAGACGUGAAAUCCCUCGGCUUAACCGGGGAACUGCGUCUGAUACUGGAUGGCUGGAGUUUGGGAGAGGGAUGCGGAAUUCCAGGUGUAGCGGUGAAAUGCGUAGAUAUCUGGAGGAACACCGGUGGCGAAAGCGGCAUCCUGGACCAACACUGACACUGAGGAGCGAAAGCCAGGGGAGCAAACGGG
rnacentral:rRNA from 1 species